rfam:Brachypodium distachyon strain Bd21 chromosome 4, whole genome shotgun sequence.
GAAUUACUCCCUCCGAUCCAUAUUACUUGUCAAAAUAUUACAUGUAUCUAGACGCUUUUCAAACAUAGAUACAUUCAUAUAUUGGGCAAAUAUGAGACAAAUAAUAUGGAUCGGAGGAAGUAAUUA